GUGCCAGCAGCCGCGGUAAUUCCAGCUCCAAUAGCGUAUAUUAAAGUUGUUGCAGUUAAAAAGCUCGUAGUUGGAUCUCGGGUCCAGGCUUGUGGUCCGGCGCUGGCCGGUUACUACUCGUCCUGACCUACCUCCCGGUUUGCCCUUGGUGCUCUUGACUGAGUGUCUCGGGUGGCCGGAACGUUUACUUUGAAAAAAUUAGAGUGUUCAAAGCAGGCAAUUCGCCUGAAUAAUGGUGCAUGGAAUAAUGGAAUAGGACCUCGGUUCUAUUUUGCUGGUUUUCGGAGCUUGAGGUAAUGAUUGAGAGGGACUGACGGGGGCAUUCGUAUUACGGUGUUAGAGGUGAAAUUCUUGGAUCGCCGUAAGACGAACUACUGCGAAAGCAUUUGCCAAGAAUGUUUUCAUUAGUCAAGAACGAAAGUCAGAGGUUCGAA
rnacentral:rRNA from 1 species